UGAGCAAUCUGCCCUUCUCAUCGGAAUAAGCGUUGGAAACGACGUCUAAUGCCGAAUACGACCUCCUUUCGCAUGAUCGGAGGUGGAAAGCUCCGGCGGAGAAGGAUGAGCUCGCGGCCUAUCAG
rnacentral:rRNA from 1 species